CCCUUAGAUGUUCUGGGCCGCACGCGUGCUACACUGAGUGGAUCAGCGGGUCAGGUUGCGCGAAAGUGUUUCCUAAUCUUUAAAUCCGCUCGUGAUGGGGAUUGACGGUUGCAAUUUUCCGUCAUGAACGAGGAAUACCUUGUAAGCGCGGUCAUCAUCCCGCGCUGAAUACGUCCCUGCCCUUUGUACACACCGCCCGUCGCUCCUACCGAUUGAGUGGUCCGGUGAGGCUUUGGGAUCUGAGCGGAAAGAGCGUUUCGCUGUUUCUGCCCGGAAAACUCAGUCGAACCUUAUCAUUUAGAGGAAGGAGAAGUCGUAACA
rnacentral:rRNA from 1 species